AUUGAACGCUGGCGGCAGGCCUAACACAUGCAAGUCGGGCGGUAACAGGGGAAGCUUGCUUCCUGCUGACGAGCGGCGGACGGGUGAGUAAUGCAUAGGAAUCUGCCUGGUAGUGGGGGAUAGCCCAGAGAAAUUUGGAUUAAUACCGCAUACGCCCUACGGGGGAAAGCUGGGGACCUGUUUCUUUUAUAAGGAGUGGGCCUAGCGCUAUCAGAUGAGCCUAUGUCGGAUUAGCUUGUUGGUGAGGUAACGGCUCACCAAGGCGACGAUCCGUAGCUGGUCUGAGAGGAGAUCAGCCACAC
rnacentral:rRNA from 1 species